rnacentral:tRNA from 1 species
GCGGGCGUGGCGAAAUUGGCACACGCACAAGAUUUAGGUUCUUGCGGAGAGAUCCUUGCAGGUUCAAGUCCUGUCGCCCGCACCA